UACGGUGGCGAGAGGAGGAAAGAGAGAGAGAGAGAGAUGAGAACAGACUACCUCACGUUCCGCCGCUCGCUCAGCGGGAGCAGCCGGGGGAGAAGAAGGUACCUGUCGACGCCGCGGCCGCCCGGCGCCCGCUGUCAGAGGUGCCGCAGCAGGACGAUGGCCGGCCGCUAGCCGUCCCCGGAUUCGUGCCUGGAAGUGGAGCCCGAGUCGGACGCCAGUACGAGGAGGAGGAAGGUGUGCCGGCUGCCGCAGAGGCGAAGGUGAGGUUCCAGAGAGAUGUCUGAGCAUUAAAAUAGAUUUUUAAAUUGGAAGAACAAGUAGUAAACGUAGCCAGCCAGAGACCGAGGAGAGACGUGUAGUUGGCUACGUAGCUAGUUGGGCAAAGAAUCCUCGUGGGACUGCUGCUGCUGCUGCUACUCCGGUUGCCGCGGCAGCAGACUAGGCCGCGUGGUCUCUCCUCCUCCGCCGCCGCCGGUACCCGUCGCCAGCGACAAACACUUCCACAUGUACCUCCCGCAGGGGUAGCCGGCCUUCGACCUAGACGACGACGACCUGCCGAUGCUGUCUGAGGAGCGGCAGGAUCCGGCGUACAAGUUCCGGAGGUAGUAUGUAGGCCUAUGACAGCCGGCACUAGUGGCUCACCAAGAACCCCUCUUCGUCCGAGCGGUACAACAGUGAAUAGUUCUGGUCCUCCCCCUGACCAACUACCGGCCCCUGCAUGGCACCCUCAUACCGAGGUGAGACUUAAAGUCUGUAUAGUGAAGAAGGUAGAAUGUUAUUAAGGUGUCUUAACUCAAACUUGAUAGCUGGUUACUACGUUUUGCACACCUACUACGAAGUCCCUUAGUCUAAUUUAACGCGAGAUGUAGAAACAGCUUGAAUAAAGAUCUCCUAGAAACACCUCUAGAAUUUAUUAAUAAAAGGAAGUUAUUAAGAAACCCGUCCGAUAAGGACCGCCCACACUUCUUUAACUUCUAACGUUCCCACCUGUCAUCGUGGAGACUAACUAAGUUGCUCCCGCUGAGUACACCGGAGGUAAGGACCCACACGAACCUAAAGUAAUUAAGUAAAUACCCCCUAAUUCUACUCUACCAAUAAAGAACCACUUCAGCCGACGAAGUAUCACAUGUCAGACGUUUUCACACCCUGUAUAAGGACUUUUUUUUCCUCGUUGUGUAUAUAUUAUGGAAAAAGAUUUUGAUAAAGCGAAGUUUAAACUAGCAAAUAAAAGAGGAGAUACCGACUGUGAUACUUAUAUCUAGUUCAUGGCCCGAACGAUUUUGAGUCAGUUGACCCUAAAUUGGUUCAGAAUCAGCUGACGUAUCAGUAAUCUGUAAACGCAUCUCUAAGUACGACCUGACUCGUGGCAGGUUGUUUGGGGCGUUGUAAAACAGGGUGGCAAACGUUAUAUAGGAAGAUGGCCAACGUCGUAGAUAGAACGACCAACAUCAUAUAGCAGAGUGGCCCGUGUUGUAAACGGGAGCAGUUAACAUCGUGCAGCAGGGCGGUCAGCGUGGUAGGCGGUAACUACCAACGUCGUAAAUCAGUGUUGUUUACAUCGCAGACAACAGUAACGAGC
rnacentral:rRNA from 1 species